rnacentral:misc_RNA from 1 species
GAAUGAGUGUGAGUCCAGUCUGCAUGACCUGUUGGAUAUGCUUCUUUGUCUAAUUAUGUCUUUAGAUGUAGGGCCAUGGCCAAACUCACAUCACAUGGCUAAAGGCUUCUUCAGGGGCGUGUAUUGAUCUUUGUGGUGCUGAAAUUUGAGAUGAGAAUCAUAGACGACAUUUCAAAUCAACUAGAAUCUGUGAGAUUCUGGAGAGAUUAGAUAUGUACGGAAAUUGGCAAGCAUAAAAUGACUUUCAUGGAGAGAGAGUAUGUUCUCCAAUAGUAUUUUUAUGAUUACCCACCAAGUUUCACUCUGUUUUUUGCUUGGAGAAAUUAAAAUUUUUCCAUCUCGUAUUGGCAUUCGGCAACCAUUCUUUUAGAAGAGUUACCAUGCUUUUUAGCGGAGAGAGAUCCAGCGAGGGGCCAAGGG